GAUGAACGCUGGCGGCGUGCUUAACACAUGCAAGUCGAACGGAAAGGCCCAAGCUUGCUUGGGUACUCGAGUGGCGAACGGGUGAGUAACACGUGGGUGAUCUGCCCUGCACUUCGGGAUAAGCCUGGGAAACUGGGUCUAAUACCGGAUAGGACCACUUCUUGGAUGUUGUGGUGGAAAGUUUUUUCGGUGUGGGAUGAGCUCGCGGCCUAUCAGCUUGUUGGUGGGGUAAUGGCCUACCAAGGCGUCGACGGGUAGCCGGCCUGAGAGGGUGUACGGCCACAUUGGGACUGAGAUACGGCCCAGACUCCUACGGGAGGCAGCAGUGGGGAAUAUUGCACAAUGGGCGCAAGCCUGAUGCAGCGACGCCGCGUGGGGGAUGACGGCCUUCGGGUUGUAAACUCCUUUCGCUAGGGACGAAGCGUUUUUGUGACGGUGCCUGGAGAAGAAGCACCGGCUAACUACGUG
rnacentral:rRNA from 1 species